GACGAACGCUGGCGGCGUGCUUAACACAUGCAAGUCGAACGAAGUGGCGAACGGGUGAGUCACGCGUAAUCAACCUGCCCUUCAGAGGGGGACAACAGUUGGAAACGACUGCUAAUACCGCAUACUGAAGGAGGGGAUUGCGUCUGAUUAGCUAGUUGGAGGGGUAACGGCCAACCAAGGCGAUGAUCAGGAGCCGGCCUGAGAGGAGGAACGGACACAGUGGGACUUAGAAACGGCCCAGACUCCUACGGGAGGCAGCAGGGGGGAAUCUUCCGGAAUGGACGAAAGUCGGAAGGAGCAACGCCGCGUGAGGUAUGACGGCCUUCGGGUUGUAAAGCUUUGUUAAUCGGGACGCGGUACCGGAAUAGAAAGCCACGGCUAACUACGUGCCAGCCGCCGCGGUAAUAC
rnacentral:rRNA from 1 species